CCGACGGUGAGAGGCGAAAGCUGGGGCACGAACCGGAUUAGAUACCCGGGUAGUCCCAGCCGUAAACGAUGCUCGCUAGGUGUCUGGGAUGGUGCGACCGUUUCAGGUGCCGCAGGGAAGCCGUGAAGCGAGCCACCUGGGAAGUACGGCCGCAAGGCUGAAACUUAAAGGAAUUGGCGGGGGAGCACUACAACGGGUGGAGCCUGCGGUUUAAUUGGACUCAACGCCGGAAAACUCACCUGGGGCG
rnacentral:rRNA from 1 species